GGAAUAACACACCGAAAGGUGUACUAAUACCGCAUAAGACCACGGGAUCACAUGGUUCUGGGGUAAAAGAUUUAUCGGUUUGGGGUGGGCUCGCGUCCGAUUAGGUAGUUGGUGAGGUAACGGCCCACCAAGCCGACGAUCGGUAGCCGACCUGAGAGGGUGAUCGGCCACAUUGGGACUGAGACACGGCCCAAACUCCUACGGGAGGCAGCAGUGGGGAAUAUUGGGCAAUGGAGGAAACUCUGACCCAGCAACGCCGCGUGGAGGAAGAAGGCUUUCGGAUCGUAAACUCCUGUCCUUGGAGACGAGUAGAAGACGGUAUCCAAGGAGGAAGCCCCGGCUAACUACGUGCCAGCAGCCGCGGUAAUACGUAGGGGGCAAGCGUUGUCCGGAAUAAUUGGGCGUAAAGGGCGCGUAGGCGGCUCGGUAAGUCUGGAGUGAAAGUCCUGCUUUUAAGGUGGGAAUUGCUUUGGAUACUGUCGGGCUUGAGUGCAGGAGAGGUUAGUGGAAUUCCCAGUGUAGCGGUGAAAUGCGUAGAGAUUGGGAGGAACACCAGUGGCGAAGGCGACUAACUGGACUGUAACUGACGCUGAGGCGCGAAAGUGUGGGGAGCAAACAGGAUUAGAUACCCUGGUAGUCCACACUGUAAACGAUGAAUGAUAGGUGUAGGGGGUAUCGACCCCUUCUGUGCCGCAG
rnacentral:rRNA from 1 species